GACCAGAGGUUGCUGGGCAACAAGAGUAGCGUCGCAGCUCUCUCUGGCGGCGGAAAUCAGCAAUUGCCUUAAUGCUCAGCUCCUGCAGACCCUUUCCAGAAAGUAGGCAGAGUAACAAGGAGGAAGAAGCUGGAGUCAGAAAGCCAAUCAUAAAAGCGAGCUUCAAAACUACAAAGAAGCUUCACAGGGUCCUAUGGAAGCACAUAGUACAUAUAUGUACUGAUAUGUCUUAGAGAACAGGUUGACAAUCACACAGCCUGCAUGGGUAGAUGACGAAGUCCAUAAAUAUCUAAUGGCUCGACUGAGGUGAUGUGACUAUUUAUAACAAGCAUUCAAGCAGCUUUUCAAGACUCCUCAAAUCCUCAAACAAAUUCUGUAUGAGGACCAAGAUAUAAUCACUUCACAGAGGAAGAAAUCAAGCCACCAGCAAGCAAGAGGGACAGCCAGGAUUGCAACCCAGAACACCUGCUUCAAGGGUUCUCGAUGGCUUCCCCAGCUUCACAACAGAACUGCUGAGAGGACUUGGUGGGAUCCCACUCCAUGAGUCCCCACUGUGCAUCAGAUACCUACGAAGGAUGCUAAACUCACUGCUUCCCUUGGAACAGGUGAUGCCUCUGAAGAGACUCCAGGCCUAAGGAUUCAGGACCCGACAGGACCUCUCUCUGUGCUUCUGGACCUUCUCACAAGUUCCUCCUGGGUCUGCUCUAGGUUUUCACAGCAUGGAUUCUGAUGACACUUUCCAUCUGCCCAUCUUUCUCAUUGCCUCCACUGCAGCAGCCUCAGCCCUCAGUGUUCUUUGUGGCUGUGCCAAGACAUUGGGAAAGUUAGAUUUCUCUCCUUGACAGGAACUCUUCUGAAGAUCUCACCUGAGGGAAUAUCACUGAACCUGACUCAGCACAGAUCUUCCAGGUAACAUAGAUUCCAAGCAUUAAAUAGAAAAUCCUUCCUUUGGGUACCGACAUGAAGAUGACGUGUUUCCCUACUCCUAAAGGUCACCGAUAAUUACUGGCGAUGACAUCAUUGCCAGGUGGGGGACAGUCUCCCUUGCAGCUCUGCUGGGGUGUCUUGGAACAUCCACAGGCACUUCAAUUCAUCAACAAUAACCCUUUAUACCAGCCCAGCCAAGAAGGUAUCAAUAUACAGAUGGCAAGUA